GUAUGCAAUUAUGGGACUAGAAGGUUUUG
rnacentral:piRNA from 1 species